GUUGACCGCUGGCGGCAGGCCUAACACAUGCAAGUCGAGCGAGCGGCGGCCGGGUGAGUAAUGUAUGGGGACUGCCCGAUAGAGGGGGAUAACUACUGGAAACGGUGGCUAAUACCGCAUACUAUCGGAUAACCCAUAUGGGAUUAGCUAGUAGGUGGGGUAAAGGCGUACCGAGGCGACGAUCUCUAGCUGGGUUUAGAGGAUGAUCAGCCACACUGGGACUGUGACACAGCCCAGACUCCUACGAAGGCAGCAGUGGGGAGUAGUGCACAAUGGGCGCAAGCCGGAUGCAGCCAUGCCGCGUGUAUGAAGAAGGCCUUAGGGUUGUAAAGUACUUACAGCGGGGAGGCGUUACCCGCAGAAGAAGCACCGGCUAACUCCGUGCCAGCAGCCGCGGUAAUAC
rnacentral:rRNA from 1 species